rnacentral:rRNA from 1 species
GACACCUUAAUCCAACAUCGAGGUCGCAAACCCUUCUUUCAAUGUGAACUCUCCAGAAAGAUUACGCUGUUAUCCCUGUGGUAACUUUUUCCGAUAAUCAACAAUGCUGGAUCACUUGUUAGUAAACCAAAAUUCUACAAAUUAACAGAGAAGCUUUUUAUGUUCCCUAGUCACCCCAACUAAAGAUGUAAGAAUAAAUUUAAAAUCCUCUAUUCUAAUAGAAACAACCCCUUUAUUCCACACUAAAGCUCAACAGGGUCUUCUCGUCCCUCAGCUAAAUCUAAGCCUUUUCACUUAGAAGUUAAUUUUUAAAUAUUCCAGGAGAGACAGCUCAGCCCUCGUCAAACCAUUCAUACCAGCCUCCAAUUAAAAGGCAAGUGAUUGUGCUACCUUUGCACGGUCAGUGUACCGCGGCCGUUU